CGCCGGUCUCACGCCAUCUACUGAGCCUUUGAGGAAGUGCAGACCAGAUUUUACUGCGCAUGUGCAAUCCCCCCAUGUUUGACCCCGUGUCUCAGCCUUCUCUUGAAUAGCCUUGGUUUGACAUCAGGCCGCCCAUCCACAUCCGGUCUGCGAGAUUGAAAGCGGAAGAAAACAGCAGGAUGGCAGAAUCGCUGCAGUUCACUCGUUGUUUGCUGGAAUUACCUAAAUUUACCGUCAAUGACGUACGGAGAUUAGUCCGGAGGUGCAGUACAACACCGCAGAGCAAACUUUAGAAAGGUUUAUGUGUCCUCGUAUCUCUGUAAUUAUGAAGGAUUAUCUUGUCCUCCGGUCACCUCAACUUUUAUUCCCUCAUGGAGUGCUCAGCCUGACUCACCGCCCUCUCCCUGGUCACAGACUAAAGCCUACUACUGUUGGCCUCCUCCACUGAAACUCCAUUGUCUCCUCACCCUCCAAUGCUCCACCCUCACUGUCUCUGGACUCCUUCCUUCCACUGUCCCACCAUCCCGGACCCAAACCCCUUUUCAGAACCACCAGUCCCUCACUACGUCACCCUGGAUCACUCUGUUCUCUCAGACAGAUCUCCCCCAGUGCUUUCAACCCCAAAACCCCUCUCGGAUGGGCUUCACAUUGGACUCUGAUUGUACAACGUACAGCACCCUAUACAUUAGGAUUCACAAUUUUAUUAUUAAAAUCCAUGUGAUUACAUGUGCCUCAGGGUUUUUGUUGACUUCUCCAACAUAAACAACAGGCCAAUAAUUGUUAAAUAAUACCAUAAGGGAUCUCAACAAAUCAACUGAAGUCAAAAGCUACCGUUUUGUUUUCUUUCAUUUGGGACACCUCAAAUGUUUAGUGGACUGACUCCCGGAAUAUGCAAGCUAUCUUUACAGUUUUAGUAUAGCUGGAUUCAGUACAACCACACCUUUCCAACAAGCCCUCAUAUGUGUUGCUAUGACAAUCCAUGGCAGAGAUACUGCAAAGUAAUUGAGAGCAUUCUACAUGCCCAUCUUUUACAUUUCCGCCUAUUUUAGGUAUGUGUUUAUAAGUCUGUAUCUCCUAUUUGCAUUGAGAUAUUUGCAUUCUGUUUUUUUCUGUUUUGUAGAGGGAUAUCCUGCCGUCAGGAAUGACAAGUUUGGUAGCUCUCAGAACUUGCAUUGUCAAUUUACAUGGAUUUAUAUGACUUAACCUCCAUUCGGCCAGGCUUUUUUUUAGCUCUUUUUUUAGUUUUCCUAUGGGGUUAUAAAUCAAGUGAUAGCACACAGAAAGCUACCACCAGUUCAAGGCUAUCACAUUUUUUCUAACACUAGAGAUGUAUACCUUGCUAAAAAUCACUAUGAGAAUUAUUCCCCCCGGGUGGUACCGACCAACCCUACUGGCUCACGGACUAAACUGAGGAAAUGAAUUCAUGCACACCAUUGUAAAGUUUCAGUCAUUUAAUUGACAGUUAAUUUGAUUACAUUAGAGUAUUUUUUUUACGCAACAGUGAAUGAACAAACAAAUAAUACAUGUUUAAUAUUGUAAAUAGAGCGGCAACAAUUAUUAAUCGAUUACUAAAUUAAUUGCCAACUAUUUUAAUAAAUGACUAGUAAUUUUGAGUAGUUUUUAAGAAAAAAAAAAGUAAAUUCUCUGAAUUCAGCUUCUUAAAUGUAAAUAAUUUCUGGUUUCAGAUGUUUACUAUGAAUCUGAAUAUUUUCUGGUUUCAGCUUGUUAACUGUGAAUAUAUUCUGGUUUCAGCUUGUUAACUGUGAAUAUUUUCUGGUUUCAGCUUGUUAACUGUGAAAUUUUUCUGGUUUCUUUGCUCCUCUAUGACAGUAAACUGAAUAUCUUGGUGUUGUGGACCAAACAAGACAUUUGAGGAUGUCAUCUUUGCUUUGAGAAACACUGCAUUUUUCAACAUUUUUCAACAUUUUAUUGACCAAACAACUAAUCGAGAAAAUAACUGACAUUGACCCUCUUGUGGAAUUCACAGUAGAGUCUGUAGUGGUAAUUUUCUGAAAGAUCCAAGUUCACGAGUUGUGUACAUGACUGGUGAACUUUGAGCUUUCAGAAAAUGAUGUAAACACGAGUACAAGUACAAACAUCCGUCAAGUGUGAUAAAUUAGAGGAAACAUGACAAAUUCACUAAUUCAAUUAUAUCAAAGGUCUAACUAUGUCAGAAACAAAAGAACACAGACCUUAAAACAGCAAAGAGUACCAAAAUUACAAAAGUCUGUCAGGUAGAACAAGUCAGAGGAAACACAACAAAUUCAGUUCUUCAUUUAGGCCAAAGGUCUCCACUGUGUUAUGGUGUGAACUUUGAAUACUGUGAGUUGAUGAUGUCACCACUUCUAAGAGAGGGUGAGAAUUUUUUUCUAUGCCCCAAAACAUUAAUGAUGCUGCAGACCUCCAAAAGAAAAAAAAUAGAUACAGUAUCUCACAUAAGUGAGUACACCCCUCCCAUUUUUGGAAAUAUUUUAUUAUAUCUUUUCAUGGGACAACACUAUAAAAAUGACACUUUGAUAUAACUUAAAGUAGUCAGUGUACAGCUUGUAUAGUAGUAUAGAUUUACCUUCCUCUGAAAAUUACUCAAAACACAGCCAUCAACAUCUAAACAGCUGGCAACAUAAGUGAGUACACCCCACAGGGAUGUGUCCAAAUUGUGCCUAAAGUGUCAAUAUUUUGUGUGCCAACCACUACUACAGUCAAGUGUAGUGGUGGCAGCACUCAUGCAGCCCCAAACCAUGAUGCUGCCACCACUACACUUGACUGUAGGCAAGGGACAGUUGUCUUGGUGCUCUUCACCAAGGUGCCACACAUGCUGAAAGCGCACCAAGACAACUGUCCCUUGCACCAGCAGUGUGAGGGACCUCUUUAGUCCAAGCUGCAGUCCAAGCCCUUGUCACUUGCACAAUCUUGCGUUGCUGGCUCUAUCUGCUUCCAAAAGGCCAUCAGGUGGGCGUGACUCGCAAACCUGUGGGGCAUAUGUAAAUGCAGAUAUGAUCAAGAUAUCAAGGUUAUUAUUAUUAUUAUUAUUAUUAUUAUUAUAUGUCAUGCUACACACUAGGUUAUACAACAUACAUACAAAUAAUUAGAGUAUAAUAGGAUAAAAUAUAAAGCAAAACAAAGUAAAACAACACAGUUACUUAGAUAUAUGAAUGUAUACACUGAAGAAAUUAUUCUGUAGAUCAUUUUAUGAAUUUUUGUCAGGUUGAAUGUAAACAGCAGCAAUAAAAUGGUGAUAAUAUGGUCGACAUCUUUACAUAAUUAGUUAUGUAAGUUAUGGUCCGUCUGUGUAAUGACUAAUAAAAAUAUA